CGGAGGGGGCUAGCGUUGUUCGGAAUUACUGGGCGUAAAGGGCGCGCAGGCGGCUGCUCAAGUCGGGCGUGAAAGGCCUGGGCUCAACCCGGGAAUUGCGCUUGAGACUGGGCUGGCUUGAGUGCGGGAGAGGAUGGUGGAAUUCCCAGUGUAGAGGUGAAAUUCGUAGAUAUUGGGAAGAACACCGGUGGCGAAGGCGGCCAUCUGGACCGCAACUGACGCUGAGGCGCGAAAGCGUGGGGAGCAAACAGGAUUAGAUACCCUGGUAGUCCACGCCGUAAACGAUGAGUGCUAGACGUUGGGAAGCCUAGCUUUCCGGUGUCGCAGCUAACGCAUUAAGCACUCCGCCUGGGGAGUACGGCCGCAAGGUUA
rnacentral:rRNA from 1 species